CACCUUUGGCUCUUUUCUGGCAACGCGCCUAUGCCAAAAACAUGGCCACGCGAUCCUUAUGGAGAGCCACGAAGCUCGCGCUGUCGGCGACCGCCCUCAUCGGCGGCGGUGCGGCGGCGGCGGAUGUCGCCACCUCCGACGACCCCGCCAUGACUUACAAGCUCUACAGCACUGUUCCCCCACGCCUUGUUCGCGGCGCCGUGACAGCCGCUGCCAUCGCCUUCGAUUAUGAGUACUCACUGUUGGGGCUUCCUGAAGGAAGCAAUGAGAGGGAAAAAGCUAAGCAUGAAGUUCACCUCAGGUCUGCGCUUAAACUUCAAGAAUUGUGUUUCAAAAAUGGAGGAAUAUAUAUCAAGCUCGGUCAGCAUCUCGGGCAGCUGGAAUACUUGGUACCUCAAGAGUAUGUCCAGACAAUGAGGGAGUCCAUGUUGAACAAAUGUCCGGUUUCUUCGUACGAACAAGUGCAUGAAGUCAUCAAAAAAGAGCUCGGAGAUAGUCCCGAUAAAAUAUUUUCUGAAUUUGAUCCUGUUCCAAUAGCAAGUGCUUCCCUUGCACAAGUCCAUAUUGCUCGCGAUCACAAUGGCGAAAAAGUGGCUGUGAAGGUUCAGCACACUCACAUGACAGAUACUGCAGCUGCGGACUGUGCUACUGUGAACUUUAUUGUGAACACCCUGCACCAGAUUUUUCCUUCUUUUGAUUACAGGUGGUUGAUUGAGGAGAUGCGGGAAAGUUUACCCAAGGAACUGGAUUUUAUAAACGAGGCCAAGAACAGUGAGAAAUGCUUGGAAAACUUUCAGAAGUUCUCUCCUCAUAUUGCAGCUUAUGUAUAUGCGCCAAAGGUGUAUUGGAGUUUAAGUACCUCAAAGUUAUUGACCAUGGAAUACAUAGAUGGUGCACAAGUAAAUGAUGUGAAGACCAUCAAAAGACUCGGAAUGCGCCCUGAUGAAGUUGCAAGGCUAGUUAGUGAAUCUUUUGCAGAAAUGAUGUUCAAACACGGGUUUGUGCAUUGUGACCCCCAUGCUGCCAACUUGUUAGUUCGUCCUCGGCCUGGUAGUGGAAAGAGCUUUCUAGGAAAGAAAGAACCACAAUUGAUACUUCUAGACCAUGGUCUGUAUAAAGUUCUUGACUCCGAGACCAGAACUAACUAUGCUGCACUAUGGAAGGCAUUGAUUUUUUCUGAUGCCAAUGCAAUAAAAGAAUAUAGUGCAAAAUUAGGUGCUGGAGAGGACUUGUAUGCAUUAUUUGCAGGGAUUCUUACCAUGAGGCCUUGGGAUAGGGUCAUUGACCCAGCCAUUGAUCAUUUGAUUAUACAAGGCACUGAAAGCGACCGUUCCGAACUGCAGAUGUAUGCUUCUCAGUAUUUUUCUCAAAUCUCACAGCUUUUGAGGAGGUUGCCGCGCGAGAUUCUUUUAAUGCUGAAGACAAAUGAUUGUUUGCGAUCAGUUAGCAAUGCUCUGUUGCAGGUACCUUCUCUUGAGACAUUCAUGAUCAUUGGAAGGGUUUCUUCUGAAGCCAUCAUUGAGGCAAAACUAUCACAAAAGAGAUCCUUCCUACGUUGGUUGAGUGCUUGGUUAGACAGAAUCAUAUUAGAAGUUCGACUUUUUACAAUUCAAGUAGCAUUGUGGCUUAUACGGGGAAGGAGAGCUUUAUCUUGGGAAAUCUGAGAAGAUACUGCAGAAACACAAUUUCUUUGACUUGCGAACUCAGGAAACCCAAAGUUUGGUGAAAUUAUGGUUACUUCUUUGUUCAUUACCCAAAAAUGGGCAUACACAUUCUUUGUCUCCAUAGAUCAAGCCGCUUCAUCUACAAGCGGGGUCUCUGAAAAUGGAUUGACAGGUGUUCUAUGCAGUGUGCCCAAAUCCCUUGCUUCACAACAUGCUUCUUAAAUGCGAAGGCUCCAUGGCAAAGGGGUUGUUUGGCUGCAGACUGAGACCCUUUUGGAUUGUGAACAUUGGCAACAAGAAGUGCACACUUUUGCUUCACCCUUCCAUGGAAGUGUAACCUCCAAAGAAAACGACCGCAACUUUGAUCGGUCCAUGCUAUACUUAGGUCAGUUGGAAUUGCUUUGGUAGGAAACACUUUUCCUUAUUUAUGUCAGGCACUGCUAGAAGGGUUUUUCAGUAUUUGAAAGCGCUUUUAGUCAUUCCUACGAUUUCCAAUUCGGACCCUGGUUGUUUCCGUCUAACAUUUAUGAUUUCCCUAGCAGAGAAGUACAAGGUCAGUGCUUGGUAGAUA